rnacentral:rRNA from 1 species
ACCCUCAACUCGAACGCGAGUCGUGCGACGCCCCGCGGCCGGGGAGACCCGAUCGACCCUCGAGCGAGCGCGAG